ACCACGACUGGUUAAUUUUGUAUUUUUAGUAGAGACGAGGUUUCUCCAUGUUGGUCAGGCUGGUCUCCAGCUCCCGAGCUCAGGUGAUCCACCCACCUUGACCUCCCGAAGUGCUGAGAUUACAGGCGUGAGCCACUGCUCCCAGCCAAAAAGCUGGAGUGCAAUGGCCCGAUCUCAGCUCACUGCAACCUCCGCUUCCUGGGUUCAAGCGAUUCUCCUGCCUCAGUCUCCUGAGUAGCUGGGAUUACAGUAGAUACAGGGUUUCUCCAUGUUGGUUAGACUGAUCUCGAACUCCUGACGUCAGGUGAUCCACCCGCCUCAGCCUUGCAAAGUGCUGGAAUUACAGGUGUAAGCCCCCGCACCCGGCCCUAGAUAUUCUAUUGGCCUUGGAGAUUUUGGUAUGUAAAGCUUUUACCGAUCAAUAUAUGUAGAUCAACUUUCUUAACUUUUAUUGUAAUAUGAGCUUGAUUUUUUUGUUGAUAUUUUAUUUUAUACUUAAAAAGGUAUUGAUGAAUGGCUUAGACAACUUCUCUUACAACUUCUAGAGAUAAGGCUUCCUAAAGAUACAAGUUUGUCUUCGGGUAUUUAACAUUGGGAUAUUUUGAAAGCUUUCUAAUUAAAAGAAUUGAAUUCAGGCCAGGCACAGUGGCUCACUCCUGUAAUCCUAGCAUUUUGGGAGGCUGAGGGGGUUGGAUAACUUGACGUCAGGAGUUCAAGACCAGCCUGGCCAAAAUAGUGAAUCCCCAUCUCUACUAAAAAUAUAAAAAUUAGCCAGGCAUGGUGGUUCACACCUGUAGUCCCAGCUACUCAGGACGCUGAGGAGAAUUGCUUGAAUCCAGGAAGCAGAGGUUGCAGUGAGCCAAGAUCGUGCCACUGCACUCAAGCCUGGGUGACAGAAAAAUCAAUUCAAGCUCAGCUACCUGAAGCCUCCCCCUCCUGUGUUCCAAUGAUUCUCCUGCCUCAGCCUCCCAAGUAGCUGGGAUUACAGGUGCCGGUUGCCAUGCCUGGCUAAUUUUUGUAUUUUUAGUAGAAAUGGGGUUUCACCAUGUUGACCAGGCUUGUCUCAAACUCCUGACCUCAGGUGAUCUGCCCACCUUGGCUUCCAAAGUGCUGGGAUUACAGGCAUGAGCCACCAUGCCUCGUAGGGUCCAGCCCUACUAGGGUCAUGGGGUGCCCCCAUCUCUGUGUUUUGGCGCUGGAUCCAAGGUGGGGAAGGGUCGUGAGUGAGGUCAUCUUAAGGGUAGUGAUAGGGUCAAGACAAUUAUGUGAGCGAUAAGGGGUCCACCCCCAUUAGGUCACCGAGUCAAAGAGGUGGGCAGUACAAGGCCCCCCUCCAAUUAGGUUACCGAGGCAAGGAGGGUGCAGUGUGCAACAUCUCUGAUCUAGGGGUAGGCAACUUCUAAGACUUUCUAUGGAAGGAGUUUCAAGUCAGCAGAGUAGCAAGAGAGCUGACAGGAUUUACAGCCACCUAGGUGUGAUUAUACCAGAGGGGUUUUAAGUCCUUGGAUGUUCGUGGGAUUGGGGGCCAGAGGCCAGCUUUCCAUAAGAACUGGACACGAUGCAACUCCCUUACAGGAGUGACUCUUGCUCCAGGCCUGCCAUACAGCGGGUAUCUUUAUAAUACUGAAUGCUGCCGCCUGGGCCGGACUGCCAUGUAGCACAUGCCCUUUCAGGCAGGGGCACUACCACCCAGGCCACUGAUUUUUUCCUGGUAUGGCUGUUUUUCCCUAGUUCAUGCUCUGCACCGUGUCUGCUCUUGACACUCCUCUGACUAUGAACUAAGAUAUGAUUAUAUAAAAGGAAAGAAAUGAGCAGUAUGUUAUUCUUCAGGCACUAGUUGUGCUGGGGGGCUACUUAGCUCUCCUUCCUCGGUGCCCAGAAGGGGGGUUACCCACAAUGCCCUGCUGGGAGUUUUUAUCUUGAUAAAGGACUACAUGUGCUCUCUAAAAUGCAUUUCCUUAUACAUUAUUGGAUGUGUUCUGCAGCUGUAAGCAAAGAUGUAGUGUGCAGCCCUUGAUUAUUUUACUGCUGUCUGCUGAGCCCGUGGCAGCCCACCUCUGCAUGUGGCUCUCUCCCUGCACCAUGACACCACAUCCCACCUCCAGGCCUGGGGACAUGACUAAAGGCAGACCCAGGAGCCGGGCCUAAGCCUCCCCCCCACUACUGCUGCUGCUUGAGCUGCUGGCCUCAGGAGUGCAGGAAGCUUGGGGGACCCCAGGGCACUGAGAACAGCCACUCCGGCAUACUCAACGCCUUCUUCUGGAGCAUCCAUAAUCCCCUCCUGUUGUGAGGAGAUAAUGGCGGAAGGGCUUGACUCUGCUGACCGAGGUUUGUGUUUAGUGAAUGUUUCUACAGACACUGUGGAGUGUGUCACAGCUCUUGUAUGUUCUUGGACUUGGCAUUUCCAACCUGUCCCAGCAUUUCAACCCAGCCUCAGUGGCCAGGAGCCCAUCCCAUGCCCUUCUGUUGGCUGGUGCCCUCUUUUCUGCCAGCUGGCUCUUGUCUCCAGCCCUGAGCUUAAUCUUCAAAGCACUGCACUGUGUUCAGGACCUCUUUUGGAUCAUGUGGACCAUUCUGUUCCCCGUGUCCUGCAAACAAAAGGGUGGGGAAUGAGGUGCAGUGGCGUCCACGUUAUGACCUGGCCCAGGGGCUUCUACAGACAUGUCAACUCCAGUGUGGAUGAGAAGCUGGAGCACCCGAGAGCCAGGUCAAACUGCUCCACACCUGCCUCCACAUGGGGCUAACAAUCCUCCAGUGCUCCAAAGACAAGGCCAGCCAGCAGUGUCAUUAUUUACCAGGACCGGGGAAGGGGAAGGGA